AUGGGGAAAUGCCUGACCACACAGAGCCCAUGCCUGCACCAGGAGCUGGCCCGCCUCAGCCUCCCUCCAACUCACAAGGCUGAGAGGGAGGUAACAAUAGUCGGAAGCUGGGAGUGGCCACCAGGAAGAGCCGAGGGGGGUGGGGUGGGCCUCUCCUGGACACUUCCUCAUGGAAAAAGGCAGAGAACAGGGGACAUUUAGCUUUGUCUGGGAAAGAGAGCCAGGCACUGCGGCUGUCCCACAACCCUCCCCAGGCCCCCUCCCUCCCUGUCUCCCCAGAGAUUUUAUUUUUACUUUGGUAAAUGCAAAAAAACAAGGUUGAGUUUCUGGUAGAUGGAAAUUUACUGAGGGCCCUCUCUGGGCAGCAGACAAUCGGCCCAGCACUCAGUCUUAGGGAUUAUCUCUCAGACAAGAUGGGUGAGGGGGCCACUCCCAACACACUGCCUAAGGAGAACUUUACAGAGUUAGGGGCCAGAGUGCUCAGUUCCUCCUCCUCCGCCUGAGGGACUGCAGGGUAGGUAGGGCAGAGCCCCAGCACAUGGAAACAGUGGUAACCAGCUUGUGUACUAAGGACUUUGGACAGGUAGAUGCAGUGCUAAGCAUUUGAUAGGUACAGUGAAUGUAUGCUAACUUGUCAUGGAGGUGCUCUCAUGAUCCCAUUUUACAGAUGUGAACACUGAGACACACAGAGAUUAGACAAUUUGCCGAAGGUGCUAGAGAUGGUAAGGAGAAAGCCUGUUGAGAGUCCCAGGUCUGCAUCAUUCAGCUAGGCUAUCUCCUUUGUCAUUUGUAACAUGUGACUUUAUAGCCAGAUGAACUUGAGCUCGGCUCCUGUUAGUCCUGCCUGAAGGUCCUGGGCAGGAUACCAAACCUCUCUGAGCUUCAGUUUUCUCCAUCCUUGUGACAUGGAAAUACCACUCGGCCAACACCACCAGCUGACGAUGACAACAGGUUGUUCUCAAAGUUAAAUCCAACUUUGCUUGGGCGAGGCUUGCUACAGUCAGAAACACUGAACCUCUUCCAAGUUCUGUCUGCUCUCUCAGCCCCAACAGCACAAGCCUGCAGGAGAUGAUGCUGAGGAAGGGCAGCUUGGUCAACAGCAGGACCUGACACCCUCUUCCUCCACCCUGGCCCUCAGCCUGAAUCCCACCUUUCCAGGAUGACAGAGACAAAGAGGACCAGUCAGAUUCUCUGCCAGAAGAAUCACCUGAGCCAUUUCUGAGCAUCUGCUGUUCCCGGUCUUGAGAGUUCAGCGGCCAUGCUCCUGUUCACGUGCAGACCGCUGGAGGCGAGGCACAGGAAACGGGUUGCCAAAAAGGCACACCAGUGAACCCCCAAGUACGAGCAAGAUUCGUCACCCUCAGAACUUGAGGCCAGGGUCAUCCUGACGUCUAUGAGGAUGUGUGACUUUCAUAAAUAGUCUGACUCAUCACUGGUCCUCCUGUAUCUGUCACCGUGGGGCCCCCGGUGGUGGCAGUGGGCUCUUACUUAGCCCGUUCUACGCUGCGGUAUGAGGAUCCCACGGGGCCAUCCCAGAGAUAGCAUACUUGCCUCUCUCUUUCAGAGGUUGCAAACAGGGACAUAUUCUACCUCUGCUAGUGUCCCCAAGGUGACAGAACUGGAAUCAUGCUCAACCCGUCACCCUGGCAGCCUGUAUGUCCACGGAAGUGGGGAGUGGGGUUUCCCACUCAAUAGAGCAGGGGCACUCAGUGGUUCCUUCACUUUUUGCCUUUGGUUACAGGGACUUAACCUUUGUUUGUUGAGACUCCACCAAGCAUCUCAAGACCAUCAGAGAACGAAACCAAUAAACACGGCGGCAACACUCCUAUGUGUCACUACCCAGAGGGAGACAGAGUACUUGGUGCACACAAGAGUCCCCUUCUCAUCUGCGACGCUUACAGAAGGCACAUCUGUCUCUGAGUGAGGUCACCAAGGAAAAACCCAACCAGAGGAAAAUAGUUUCAAGCAGUCGUCAUUUCAAUCUUCGGAAAAAGGAAGCGAGUGGAUAAACUAACUACCAGAAGAUUCCAGAAUUCAGGAUGAGCGACGAGGAAAACGGAAAGUAUGUGCUCUGGGAACGGGGCAGCUGGGCUGGAUGCACAGAGCACCCACAAGCCGCUUCCGCUUCCCUUUCCCCAAGCUUAGCUCUUUCCUUUUCCCUAACACAAAGGCCAGAGAAACAGACACCCUCUCCAUGCUUGCUCAAAGACCCAGAAGGAGACCCUAUUAGUGACCAGUGACCAGGUGACAUGGGACAGAGCUUCCCUCCCAGUGACCAUCAGACUUAACUUGGUUCAGCUAUAGCCCCACCCCCGCCCCCACCACUUUUUUCUAAAUCAGUUGCCAAAAAUUGUAAAUGAGAUUUCAAACAAAAGUCCAAUGCUUCUUUGACACACUGAGUCUGCAGUCCUGGCAGCCUGGGAUUGAAUAGUGGCAGCUUGGGAUGGGGGUCAAAUUUUAACCUAUCACCACCAGCCUGGCCCAUGACAGUAUCUACAUUAACAGGCGACCAACUAUAAACGCGCCAAAGAAAGCCCAAAGACCCAGACCUCAAACACAGAGUUGUCUCUUUCUCCGUCUGUAAAGAGAAGAAAAUGAUUGACAUGCAUGGCUCAUAUUCUAUAGAGAGGAUAAGGAAGAAAAGCAAGAGAAGGGUUUGAGGAACUGAGUACCACUCUACCAGCUGGGUGACGUGUGGUCACAUGGGUACAGAGACUAAGACACACACAGAGCCAGCCUCUUGGAUUGGAUUAGUAACUAGGGUGAGGACAGGGGAACAAACACACCGGAAGCCUCAGAGGUGACGUCACCCAGGAAGGUAGAAAGUAGAGCUGAGGUUUUGGAUCUUGCCAAGUACACCUGGUGCCUGGAUUGGGUACCCAGUUCACACUGCUUUCCUAGGCCUAGGGCCAAGGACACCGGAUCCCACUCAUUCCAUACGCUCCUCUCUCUUACACAAAGCCCAGCUUCGUCAAACCCUCGCAAACAGAGACCAAGCUCUGCCUGGGGACUCUCCUGAGUUCCCAUCCUCCAUGUCCUCUCUCUCUGCAAAACUGGCCUACUGGUGUUUGCCCAGAUGUGCCAUAUUGCUGGUUCUGGGGCAGCCCGUCUGGUGGCAAUAACCUAUGUCACUUGGAGGACAGUGAUUUACUGUUUAAAUGGUGCCCCUCAACCUGUCCACUUUCACCUUCCCAGGUCCUGCCCAUUUCCCUCUGAGCCACCCCGGUAAAUGGCUUCUCCUUGCAAGAUUUACAUAUCACACACAGUCCACAAUCCCUUUGUCACCUGCUUAGAGCUCAUUCAGGUCUGGUUUUAUUAUGAGCAUCAUUUCCUAUAGCAACAGUUCCGGAGGGCAGGACCCCAGGCCCUGGUAACACACUUCCUUCCCAGAGUUGAGAGCUAAUGGAUGAAUGCAGAACUAAGUAGCACGAGCCUCCAAGACCUGGCUCCUGGCUGAGAAGGCAAAAAGGGAAUCCUGUUCAGUAUCUAUAACCAGUUCUGAAGGAGUCUGGCAGGAAGCAAACUGAGAUUCCUAGACCAGAAUGAUGCUUCUUGUGUUCCUGGGAACUAAGAACCAGAGGAGGAGCCUUUAAGUCCUGGCAUGAGAUGGUCACAUGGAAACAGAGAUUAAGACACCAGCCUAGCCCCUAGAGGUAGAGGUGGACAAAAGCCAAGAUUGCUAUCCUAUAGUUAAUCUGGAAGUCGCUGGCCCCAAUCAACUAUCUAUCUGUAUUCUAUGACCUCAAUGCUGUUUGUUCCUGGCUGUCGACAUCAAGGCUGGGCUAUUUUCUCCCAUAGACCCAGGGCAGGGAUGGCCAGGGCCAGGCAAAUGAGAAAAGCAGAUCCACAAUGCUCUUCCAGAUGUAAGAUGAACAUUAGGACAAAAAGAGCUAGACAGAAAGGUAUCCCAGGCUGGAUAGGAGCUUACUUCUAGAGUCACAGCUCUGCAUCAGGACCUGGGCAGACACUCACCCAUGCUCUCUACUCUUAGCCUGAACUAGCUUCCUUUAUGGGGUUUUAGAAAGAUCCAGACUGAGUGAGAACAAGCCGGUCUGACCAGGCUCUCCCCUUGUCCAGCUAGCCCCUUUCUGGCAGUGACAGCCUUGCUAUCUCCCUUUGUCCUGGGACCAGGGGCUCCGGCUUGUUAUCGCCCCUCCCUCCCUCCUUCCCUCCCUCCCUUUGCUCUGUUUUACCUGAUACAACCAAUACCACAUAGAUCCACUAUGGUGCCCCACUGUGUUCUGGCUUCAGGCUUAAGCCCAGGGAGUAUGAAGCCCAGAGUAGAUGAGCACAGGCCUGAUAAUGGAACAUGACAAGGAUGCCAACCAGCUUUAUAAAGAGGAAGGCACAGAUAAGGGGGCAUUGCUUUGGGAGGGGGGAAAUAAAGGAAGUUUUUUUGGGAAAGAUGGAGUUUCUGCAUCUUUAAGAGCCAAGAGAGGAAAGCAGCACAAGGGGCAGAGGGAAGGCAGAAGAAGGUGGGCUUCGGGCUUAGAGAAAGCAUGAGCAAAGCUAGCGCUGCGUGGCUCAUGCUCUACAACCGAGCUAUGCACGGCUGGCCCUAGACUUUCAAUACCGCACAUAAGUGUCAAAUACACAGAGAGAUACCGCCUGCCUCUCACAAGUAUCAUAGUCGACACAGGUGCUUGUUCAGAGAACUCUGGUUGUAAAGCAAGACCUAGACACACAUGGAAGGAGCACCCCACAUCUCUUUCAGCAGAGCUCACUGUGGGCUGGCUUGUCCCCAAGCUUCGGGUGAUUGCAUGUCCCUGAGCUUCAUGCCCAGUCUAGAAGUUGGGUCUGGAAUUGUAAAAGCAUGGAAAUGGAGCCCCAUCCCCUCCAUCUUACCGUUUGAGGCAACCACUCAGGGCUUUAGCUUGUGUUUAAAGCAUGAUAACAGAGGCUGGGAAAGGAGCUAAAGUGUUCGUGAUGUGUGUAGGAGAACCUGAGUUUGGAUCUCUAGGCCCCAUGUAAAAGCUGAGGGCGGAAGCACAGGCCAAGAGACAGGGUGGACACCCAGAGCUCAGGGGUCAGUCAGUCAGUCAGUCAGCCCAGCCAAAACAGCGUGCCCCAGAGUCACUGAGAUUCUCUCUCAAAGACUAAGGCGGAAAAGCAAACGGGAAAGACAUCCCAACUUCAACUUCCACACAUGUACUCAGUGGUGUACACACACACACACACACACACACACACACCACACCACAUCAUAUCACAUCACAUCACAAUUUCUACACACAG